GGGACCAGACGCGGAGAACGCGGAGAGGGUUCCGCUGUAAGUUUCUCCUUUGCAGUGUAAAGGUGUGUUUCGCCAUCCCCGUAACUCCACCCUCAGGGUCUUGGAAGUCGCUAGGAAUCUAAAAUCCCAGCAACCCGGCCCUCCGCCCCCAAGUAAAUCCUGGCGUCGUCCUUAUAGCUCGGGAAGAGUUGACCUUGGAGGACAUGGCCAUCGAGUUCUCUCCGGAGGAGUGGGCCUGCCUGGACCCUGCGCAGAGGGCCUUGUACAGGGACGUGAUGCUGGAGACCUGCAGGAACCUGCUCUCCCUGGAGUUCCGUGCUGGGUGUGGCAUGUUCAGCUCCUACUCAACAGAGGGCGACAGGACGUGGUAAGUGGAGAGCUUGAUUACGCACACACGCUGUGAAGCAGCAGCAGGGGACACCGUGAAGAGCCAUGUGAGAGGUCAAGCUUGUGUAUUUCCCUGGAGUCUUCCCUUUUGACACAUGGAUUUUUAAAAGAUAUUUCUUUGCUGUGUGAAGCUACACCGUGCAUCGUAGAACAUUUACCAGCACACUGGGCUCGACCCGCAUCAGCAGCACCACCCCAACUGUGAAAUAAAACACAUCUCCAAACAUUUGCAGAGGUGUCCGAGGAGCGGGUGAUCACCCCUGCAUGUCCCUUCCACCAAUGGAGAGAGGAAAAAGCAAAAGGUAUGUGGCAUUUUGCUUUCAACUGCAUUUGAUACCAUAUUAUAAUCAAGGUCUUACCUCAUCAUGAAUAUGUAGGACUAAAGGGUAUAACUGCCUCAUGUCCCAUCGGUAAAACUUGGUUAAAAAAAUAAUUACAAAGUAUUUUGAGGGUCAUGGGCAAGUUAAAUCUAAAAUCAUGGCUUUGGUCCUCAUGCCUUUGGAAGUAACCUGUUAGUUGAUUAAGUUGGCUUCUGCGAAGUUACUCCUUUUGCACGAAACAAACAGAAACUCCAAGUGUGGCUCCACUCAGAAGGCCUGAGAACCUGGAAGGCUCUGACAUAACAUCAGUCUAAAAGGUUAGAGGUGUCUUGCUCAAACCGUGGGUGUCACUAAUGGAAAUGGACUCGUUUGUACAACACUAAGUGUUGUAUUCAACAUAGCGUUUUACUGGUGGCAGUUGUGCGAGCGUGUGUACCAUACGAGAAGGGUGACCUCACAGAUUUAAAGUCACCUGGGGGACGUACAUGUUUAUGGGAAGGAAAGCUCAUUGGUCAGGGAAGGCAGUUGCGGAACUCUGCUGGAGGUGACUGGGUUCAAGGAAGAACAAUGAACACAAAACACGGGAUUGUCUGUUCUCGGGAAGAAGACGGAGCCCAAAAAG
rnacentral:lncRNA from 1 species